rnacentral:rRNA from 1 species
GGAGCUUGCUCCACCGGAAAAAGAAGAGUGGCGAACGGGUGAGUAACACGUGGGUAACCUGCCCAUCAGAAGGGGAUAACACUUGGAAACAGGUGCUAAUACCGUAUAACAAUCGAAACCGCAUGGUUUUGAUUUGAAAGGCGCUUUCGGGUGUCGCUGAUGGAUGGACCCGCGGUGCAUUAGCUAGUUGGUGAGGUAACGGCUCACCAAGGCCACGAUGCAUAGCCGACCUGAGAGGGUGAUCGGCCACAUUGGGACUGAGACACGGCCCAAACUCCUACGGGAGGCAGCAGUAGGGAAUCUUCGGCAAUGGACGAAAGUCUGACCGAGCAACGCCGCGUGAGUGAAGAAGGUUUUCGGAUCGUAAAACUCUGUUGUUAGAGAAGAACAAGGAUGAGAGUAACUGUUCAUCCCUUGACGGUAUCUAACCAGAAAGCCACGGCUAACUACGUGCCAGCAGCCGCGGUAAUACGUAGGUGGCAAGCGUUGUCCGGAUUUAUUGGGCGUAAAGCGAGCGCAGGCGGUUUCUUAAGUCUGAUGUGAAAGCCCCCGGCUCAACCGGGGAGGGUCAUUGGAAACUGGGAGACUUGAGUGCAGAAGAGGAGAGUGGAAUUCCAUGUGUAGCGGUGAAAUGCGUAGAUAUAUGGAGGAACACCAGUGGCGAAGGCGGCUCUCUGGUCUGUAACUGACGCUGAGGCUCGAAAGCGUGGGGAGCAAACAGGAUUAGAUACCCUGGUAGUCCACGCCGUAAACGAUGAGUGCUAAGUGUUGGAGGGUUUCCGCCCUUCAGUGCUGCAGCUAACGCAUUAAGCACUCCGCCUGGGGAGUACGACCGCAAGGUUGAAACUCAAAGGAAUUGACGGGGGCCCGCACAAGCGGUGGAGCAUGUGGUUUAAUUCGAAGCAACGCGAAGAACCUUACCAGGUCUUGACAUCCUUUGACCACUCUAGAGAUAGAGCUUCCCCUUCGGGGGCAAAGUGACAGGUGGUGCAUGGUUGUCGUCAGCUCGUGUCGUGAGAUGUUGGGUUAAGUCCCGCAACGAGCGCAACCCUUAUUGUUAGUUGCCAUCAUUCAGUUGGGCACUCUAGCAAGACUGCCGGUGACAAACCGGAGGAAGGUGGGGAUGACGUCAAAUCAUCAUGCCCCUUAUGACCUGGGCUACACACGUGCUACAAUGGGAAGUACAACGAGUCGCGAAGUCGCGAGGCUAAGCUAAUCUCUUAAAGCUUCUCUCAGUUCGGAUUGUAGGCUGCAACUCGCCUACAUGAAGCCGGAAUCGCUAGUAAUCGCGGAUCAGCACGCCGCGGUGAAUACGUUCCCGGGCCUUGUACACACCGCCCGUCACACCACGAGAGUUUGUAACACCCGAAGUCGUAGA